GUACGUCCAGGCCCCUUCACCAACCGGCCAAUGUGCUGGGUUUGCUGCACCCGUGAGCCCUGUGGAAGUAUUAUGGGACUCGGGGAUGAAGCCUCUGCCUUUUCUAUUUAAAGGUGUCACCCGGGUAGUCUUUGGCAACGGCCGAGGAGUAGCGGUGAGUCAGGGAAGUAGGGAGGAGGAGCAAGGCUCCAUUCAGGUUUCAACAGCCCCACAUCGCCUCGUCUCCUCUUAACCCAGGCAUACCCUGCGAGGACGGCGUAAGCCUCCGAGCGCGGCCGAAGCGUGCGGCCCGAGGAGCCGGGCAUUCUUAGGAGAACGCCGACUAAGAAACAACAGGAAGUUGUUGAACAACAGUGCCAGCGGGAACUUCCCAGAUGUCGAGGCUGCCUUCUUGUGCACCUGACGGACUGGCAUCCCCAGAUGUCUGAGAGAUAAGUAGAGAGCUAUGACCCGCAGAGGGGACAAAAGUGGGGUGCUGGGCGGGGACCCACCAGAAGGAGUUUUUGAGUCCGCUUUGGAGAUGGAGGUGUACAUGAAGUGUCCUCUUAGGUCACAUAAAAGGAAAGUGUCACUUUUGAUCAGAGUGCUGAGGUGCACAGGGCAGAGCAGUCCUGGUGUGUAUUGUGUCACUUGUCUAUUGUGCCUUAUGUGUUGUUUGGGUAUCCUCUGUCACAUGUCUUUCAACUUAGGCCUUUGAGGGGCCUAUCAGAAACCAUUUUUGGCAUCUGUGAUCUGUGUUCUUUAUUCUGUGUUCUUUAUUCUGGCACCAAUGCCAUAGAACUUUUGACUUAGGAGCUCAGACUGCCAUCAGACUCGCAUCUCUACUUUAGAAGCAUCCAGUCAGAUGUCUUUUCAGGUCUUGUUCUGAGCUGUACGGACAGCCGCACCCCACAAGGAUCCAUUACGGCAGAUUAGGGCUUGUAAGAAUGCGAGCCUAGGCAGAGGAUUCUGACCAUAGGAUUCCCAGGCAUCCAUCUUUGCAGUUCUUCAAAUAAAUCAUUCAGUUAGCAUCUUCUUCCUCCCAGCUUCUCUGAGCCUCAUCAGCUUGCAGUUGGUCUCACCUCGCUCAUCUCAUUCUUCAUUCUCUCAGUCCUUGCAGUCAUUUUUCUUGCCAAGAGAUUUCUGUGUGUGUUUGUCACAUCCCGUCCCGUGUCACAGGUGUGCGCACACAUUUGUGCUGGAGCCGCUCUGCCCUGCCGCAUAGCCCGGUGCAAUAGGAGAAGUCCCGGGGCCUUGAAGUUUGUAAUGUGGGGUGUGGUUGGACUCUAAAUGGCAUUUGUAGAUGGACACAAGAUGUCUGGAGCUCUGCAAGUUAAGUUAUCCUGCAACAGUUUGACUAUUGUCCUAACUUUUUCUUCAGAACCAGAUGGAUUAAAUCUGUGCCAGAGGGCCCUAUCCUGGGUGAGGGGGUCCCCUGAGCAGGUCAGUCACUGUUUGUCUCUGCAGCAGAAGUGUAAAUGGUGACUCUGUUACAGCACUGUUCUUUGUCUUCUUUUUUUUUUAGGAAGUCAAGGCAGAGAGCCACAGUCAAGGCCAAGUGGGCAAGGCAAUCGACUCGGUGUACAUCCAGCCCCUGUCACCUGCUGGCCGAUGCACCGGGUUUCCUGCAAAUGCAAGUCCUGUGGAAGUAUUACAGGAGUCUGUGAUGAUGAAGCCUUCAAAUUUUCUAUUUCAUGGUCCCAUCCUGGCAGCCCUCAGGAAGGGCCAAGGAGUUGUGGUGCACCCUGCAACAAUGGUGAUGGCCUCCGAGCAAGCCUGAAGCAUGCGGCCCGAGGACCUGGGCGUUCUUAGGAGAGGGACUAAUAGAUAACAGCCCGGUGUCAGUAGGGACUUCCCAGACGGCGUGUCCGCAUUCCUUCGCACCCGGCAUGGAUCGGCAUGCCCACCUGCCCGAGAGAUAAGUAGAGGGCUACGACCCAGAGAGGGGAUGAAAGUGGGGUCUGGGUCACGACUCACCAGGACGGGAUUUUGAUUCAGCUUUGGAGACGGGGUUGUCCAAGCAGUGCCCCCUUAGGCCCUGUAAAGGGAAAAUGUCACUUUUGAUCACAGUGCCAAGGUGCACAAGGCAGAGCAGGUCCAGUAUGUAUUGUGUCACUUGUCUAUUGUGCAUUCUGUGUGUUUGGAUAUGUCAUGUCUUUUUCCUUGAGCCUUUGAGGGGCCUACCAGAAACCAUUCUUGGCAUCUGUGAUCUGCAUUCUUUGUUCUGGCACCAAUGCCAUAGAACUUUUGACUUAGGAGCUCAGACUGCCAUCAGACUCGCAUCUCUCUUGACAAGCAUCCAGUCAGAUGUCUUCUCAGGUCUUCUUCCGAGCUGUACAGACAGCUACACCCCACAAGGAUCCAUUACGGCAGAUUAGGGCUUGUGAGAAUGCGAGCCUAGGCAGAGGAUUCUGACCAUAGGAUUCCCAGGCAUCCAUCUUUGCAGUUCUUCAAAUAAAUCAUUCAGUUAGCAUCUUCUUCCUCCAGGGUUCUCUGAGCCUCAUCAGCUCUCCAUCGAUCCCACCUCGGUCAUCUCAUUUUGCAUUCUCUUGGUCCUUGCAGUCAUUCCUCUUGCCAAGAGAUUUCUGUGUGUGUUGUGUCCCCCUUGUUUGUCACGUCCCGUCCUGUGUCAAGGGUGUGCGCACACAUUUGUGCCGGAGCCGCUCUGCCCUGCCGCAUAGCCUGGUGCAAUAGCACAAGUCCUAGGGAGUUGAGAUUUGUACUGUGGGAUGUAGUUGGACUCUAGAUGGUAUUCCUAGACUGACACAAGAUAUGUGGAGCUCUCAAGUUACCCUGCAGCCCUUUGACUUUUGUCCUAACAUUUUUUCAGAUGCAGAAUGAUACAAUCCAUGGCAGAGCACCCCGUCCUCGGUGAGGGGUUUCCCACAAGCAGGAAGUAUAGCUGAUCUCAGCAGUCAAGAUGAAGAGGGCAAGGCAAUCCACUCAGAGUAUGCCGGGCUCCCGUCCCCAAGCGGCCGACGGACCGGGUUUGCGGCUCUUGCGAGCCCUGUGGAAGUCUCACUGAGUUCGGUGAUGAAGCCUUUGCCUUUUUGAUUUACACAUCUCACCCCUCUACUCUUCGGCAACGGCCGAGGAGUUGCGGUGAGUCGGGGAAGUAGGGAGGAGGAGGGAGGGUCCACUUAGGUUACAGCAAUGCCACAUCACCUCCUGUCCUCUUAACCCAGGUGUCCCCUGUGACCAUGGCCUUGGUCUCUGAGCGUCCCCGAAGUGUAUGGCCCAAGCAGCAGGGCAUUCUUAGGAGAAUGUAUAGCUGUCUAAGAGACAACAGCCCGGUGCCAGCAGGAACUUCCCAGCUGAUGAGGCGCCCUUCCUUCACACCUGACACAGACUGGCAUCCCCAGAUGUCUGAAAGAUAAGUUGAGGACCAUGACCCACAGAGGCGAUGAAAGCAGGGUGCUGGUUUGGGAAUUACUGGGAGGGGUUUUUGAGUCCGCUUUGGAGGUGGGGGUGUCGACAAAGGGGCCCCUUUGGCCACUUAAAAGGCAAGUCUCACUUUUGACAACAGUGCUGAGGUACGCAGGGCAAAGCAGUCCCGGUGUGUGUCGUGUCACUUGUCCGUUGUGCAUUAUGUGUUGUUUGGGUAUCUCAUGUCUUUUAUCCUAGCCCUUUGAGGGGGUCUGUCAAAAACCCUGGCAUUGUUCUUACCAUCUGUGAUCUCUGCCUUCCUUGGCCUGGCACCCAGGCCAUAGAACUUUUGACUUGGGAGCACAGACAGGUAUCAGAAUCACAUCUCUCUUUGGAAGCAUACGGUCAGAUGUCUUUUCAGUUCUUGUUCUGAGCUGCAUGGACAGCUAUGCCCCACCAGGAUCCAUUAUGGUGGAUUAGGACUUGUAAGGAUGCGAGGUUAGGUAGAGGAUGCUGACCGUAGGAUUCUCAGGCGUCUAUCUUUGCAGUUCUUGGACUAAAUCAUUCAGUUAGCAUCUUCUUCCUCCAGUGUUUUCUGAGUCUCGUCAGCUUGCCUUCAGCCUCCCCUCGGUCAUCUCAUUUGGCAUCUUCUGUCCUUGCAGUCAUUUUUCUUGCCAAGAGAUUUGUCCAUGUUGCGUGCCCAUUGUUUGUCACAUCCUGUCUGUCUGGUCUGUCAUGGGUGUGCGCACACAUUUGUGCCGGAGCUGCUUUUCCCUGCCAUAUAGCUUGGUGUAAUAAGACAAGCCCCGGGGAGUUGAAAUUAGUAAUGUGGGGUGUACUUGCAAUCUAGAUGCUAUUCCUAGAUUGACAUAAGGUGUUUGUGGCUUUUGAGUUAUCCUGCAGGUGUUUGACAUAUGUGCUAACUUCUUUCAGAUGCAGAUGCAUUAAAUCUAUGGCAGAGUGCCCCAUCCCGGGUGAGGUGCUUCCCACAAGCAGGAAGAUUAGCUGGAUCUCAGCAGUCAAGAUGAAGAGGGCAGGGCAAUCCACUCGGAGUAUGCCGAACUCCCGUCCCCAGCCGGCCGACGGACCGGGUUUCCCGCUCUCAUGAGCCCUGCGGAAGUCUCACCGGAUUCAGUGAUGAAGCCUUUGCCUUUUUUUAUUUACGCGUCUCACCCCUCUACCCUUCAGCCGAGGAGCUGCGGCGUACCCCGUGACAACGGCAUUGGCCUCCAGGUGCGUCUGAAGCGCGUGACCCGACAAGCUGGGCAUCUUAGGAGAAUGGCGAGUAGCAGACUUGUGGGGUUUUGGCCGAUGUGGUGCCAAGAUCAUGCACUGAUGUUUGCUUCUCUUUAAUAUGGCGGUCUACAAGACAACAGCCCGGUGCCAGCAGGAACUUCCCAGCUGACGAGGCGGCCUUCCUUUGCAUGUGACUCAGACUGGCAUCCCCAGAUGUCUGAAAGAUAAGUUGAGGGCUAUGACCCACAGAAGGGAUGAAAGUGGUGUGCUGGGUUGGGACUCCCUGGAGGGGGGGUGGGGGGGCGGUGUUUGACUUGGCUCUGGAGAUGAGGGCAGCCAAGAAGUGGCCCCUUAGGCCCCAUGAAAGGCAAGUCUUGCUUUUGACAACAGUGCUGAGGUGUGCAGGGCAGAGCACUCCCGUGUGUAUCCCGUCACUUGUCUGUCGUGCACUUUGUAGCGUUUGGGUAUCUCAUGUCUUUUAUCCUAGCCCUUUGAGGGGCCAAUCAGAAACCUUGGCACCAUUCUUACCAUCUGUGAUCUGUGUUCCUUGCCCUGGCACCCAUGCCAUUGAAAUUUGGACUCGGGAGCUCAGACAGGUGUCAGAAUCUCUUCUCUCUUUAGAAGCAUCCGGUCAGAUGUCUUUUCAGGUCUUGUUCUGAGCUGUAUGGACAGCCACGCCCCACAGGGAUCUGUUAUGACUGAUUAGGCCUUGUAAGAAUGCGUGGUUAGGGAGAGGAUUCUGACCAUAGGAUUCCCAGGCAUCCAUCUUUGCCUGUCUUGGAAUAAAUCAUUCACUUAGCAUCUUCUUCCUCCAGGGUUCUCUGAGCCUCAUCAGCUCUCCAUCGGUCUCAUCUCGGUCAUCUCAUUUUGCAUUCUCUCGGUCCUUGCAGUCAUUUUCCUUGGUUGCCAAGAGAUUUCUGUCCGUGUUUUCCAUCCACUGUUUGUCACAUCCUGUCCUGUGUCACGGGUGUGCGCACACAUUUGUGCCGGAGCCACUCUGCCCUGCCGCAUAGCCUGGUUCAAUAGAAGUCCCGGGGCCUUGAAGUUUGUAUGUUGGCUUAUAUUGUCUGUAAUUAUGUUGGCUUAUAGUGUAUGUACUUAGUGUCUGUACUUACACCAUACGUAUACUUGCACUGUAUGCGUCGGUUUAUAUCGUGUUUACUUAUUUUGUACCUGUUAUGAUUGGAGCUGCCCUGCCCUGGCACAUAGUCACAGCCAGGUAGAACAGUUACAAAAACUUUACUGCUCAUCUGUCUUCUAUGGGAUUUUGGGUAGAAAUUUUAUUGGUCCAGAGCGGGGACAAGUCCUAGCUGUCAGCCCCUCGUUGACCAUUUCCUCUCGUCUUGCAGGUCCCUGAGGCUACCGAUUUUCCCCAGAAUCUACCAUUUGACAUCAAGGAGCAGCAGCCAGAAGAUGCAUCGAAGCACGUUCUCCAGUGUUUCAAGUAAGGGCUGCAGUGAGCAUCCAAGUUAGAAGCGUGUGAGAGCACGUGGCCGUCUGUGUCCGCUCAUCUCUGCACAUAUGAGUGCAUGCUGACUGGAUCUAACCUUGUGUGUAUGACCUUUUGCUUUUCAGGUUUUUCAACUAAUUUAUAACUUUAGAAUAAAAAAUCCCCAGCCGGGGGCUUUUUUUCCCCCCACCGGCUGGGUUUUUUUUCCUCGGUCCCGGUCGGUCUGCGAGGCGACGUUCAUCGCCAGAGUUUGGGCGCGGACCGUCCAGGGACCGGGGUUUUUGUCAGGCAGGAGGAUUUUUUGGAGGCUCCCGGGAACCAUGUUCCCGAGGACCAAUGGUUGCCAGGGUGUAAUUUAGCGGUCGUGAUGAGAGCGACGGUGAGUUCGUGUUGGAGGGGGGCGUUAAUGGUAGGUGAGCAUUGUUUUCUGUGUGCUUUUGUUGUUUUGUGUUUCCUGUAACAAUAAAUCAACAUGUAAUGAAAAUAGGAAAAAGGUUAUCAUCUUGUGUUAAUAUGUGUUUUGUGUUCUAUUGCUCUGUAUUGUUCUGUAUUUGCAUUAGCUGCUGCAUUUCCCUGUAUUGCUCUGUAUGUAAAUUAGACUUUUACUAGUGCAUUCAUAGAUUGUAUCGGUAUCUGUACUUGAAUUUGUAUACACUGUUUCCAUGUAUUUUGCUGAAGUGUAAAUUAAAAAUAUUCAUUUAAUAAAGUUGAAUCAUCCCUAAUAAAGAUACACCCCGCCCUCUCCCUA